UGUAAUGGAUGAGCUGCUGGUAGAGCCUGCAGGCAGUCCUCGGUUGCCCGGGAAACACAGAUGGUGGAUGAAGGGCGUGCAUACAAAAGAGCGUAAACCUGUGGCAGCAGCUGGAGACCGUGCCCGCUCAUUAUUCAGCUCUGUGCGGCCCUGCUUACUCAAAGGCGUCGCUGUUCUCGUUAAUGCCGCCUAUCCAUUUUCUUUGUCCCGGGGCUUCCGGCUCCACUUCAUCCUGCUUUCUCCCCGGACCGGACCAGUCAGUGCGCAGCUGCUGUCGGCACUCCCAACAUCUGCUCGUCUCUGCUCGGCAGCCAUACAGACGACGCUCCGCCGCGGCUCAUGUUGGUGCGUAGCUUGCCGUCCAGACGGCGAGCAGCCUCCUCACUGCAGGCGGUGGUCACACACAGCACACACACGGUGUCGUUUAGCAAGUCAGAGAGCUUAAACUCAACAUGGAAGAAGACGACGACGACGAAGAAGAUGUAACCUAAUGUUUUCUCACCAUUUGAUGAUGCGGGACAGGUGCACGAAGAGCCCAAAGAUCUCUGGUGACCUUGUGGUCAGUGUUGAAUGGACCGUACACAGGCUUCAUCUCCAGAGCUGCUGACAUGUCUCCAGACAAGACACAGGGAGGACCUAACACCCGGACAGGUUAUGUGUACAGGCUAAGUUAUCUUCAUUUAAAUCAUGAAGAAUAUUCAUUUGUAUUGGCACACAGUAACAGAUGGAUAUUUAAAUAGCAUUACUCAUUUGGUUAGAUAACUGGUAUCAAUGCAGCCCAUCUCAAGUGACGUAUGUUUUACUCUCAUUUGUGUCAAAAAAAAGAGGACAAAAAGAACAAACCAAAAUGGAAAGAAAUCCCGGGGGUGUCAUUGGAGGACAGUUGGGCCGCGUCCCACUUUUUCUGCUGCUGUGUGUUGUGUGUUUUUCUCCAGUUACGCUGAUGAAAAGGCAGAUCACGGCUCGCACCAGACCCCAGCAGCUGCAUCAUCGCUCCAUCGCCCUCUGCUGCAUCGCCUCACAGAGAGGAUCCAUCUGCAGAUUUACACCAUGUGAUUGAUGCACGAUGCCAUGCUUUCCUGCAGCUGCAGAAGGAGAGGGUCCAUGUCCAAGAAUUUCCCAACAGAGAGACGACUUAGGUGUACCAAUGAAGUGGCUUCCAGAAGAAAAAAAGCUUUGCACUCUGUCAGCAUGAUCACAUUUAGCAGAAAGGCAUUUCAUGGGUGGUGUUUUGAGUCCAAAAUGAUUUGCAGCACAUUUUUGCCUUCUUAAAAUGUGUUGUGGGUAAUUUUAAUGUAGCUUCAUUCACCCACUCUAUUUUUUUGUCUAAUCAAAACAACACUGCAGCAAUCAAACAUCUCUUUUGCAUCUUUUUUUCCUGCAGCUUCUGUGUGCAGUGACCUCUCUGCUCUGUUAAAUUGGUUACUCUGUCCAACACCUUCUCCCUUUGUGAGAGGGGCUUUAAUAAUGCUGUCCUGGGUGUUAGCUUCUCACUUCUCUCUGCCAGAUCCAGAUCUGUAAAAUCUGAUACUCUCAGCCUGUAAUGUUAACAAAAAAAAAAAAAAAAUCUGCUAAAAGUGUGUGAAAAGGAUGACCAGUUUUCUCACAUUUUGAAAAUGUGUUAUUCACACAGUAUGUUCUUUGUUUGUCUUAAAACAAUACACAGUCAGUGUAUUUAUGCUGUAGUGUGUGGGUGCUUGUGUGUCUGUGUGAAUGCGUGUGUUUGUGUGCAUGUGUGUGUGUGCAUGUGUAUUAUGUCUGUAUAAUGAAUCUGAAAUUUGCAAACGGUCCUGAAGCUGCUAGAUGCUUAUUGAUGAUUUCCUUAUAUCUUCUUAUAUCUAUCUUAAGUUUGAAAAUGCAGUUUUUCUUCUUUUAUCCUCUGAAUGUACCAGACAUGGGAUAAAAACUAUUUACAGAUGAUUUUUUAGCUGCAUCAGUUUCAGCCUCAUUGAAGUGCCAGAUAUGGAGGGGAUUCUUGUGAUUGAGAUAAUCACAAGAGUGUGGCUGUAAAUGAAUGGUGUGUAGUUUUCUAAAUGAUGCCUGCUGGCUCUAAUUAAACCGUCCUAACGCCCACAGCCCCAUCUUCUGAUACUUGACCAAAUUACAGCAAUUGCUAAUAAUUAUGUGCAAAUAGCUUUUGACCCAAGUCUGGCUUCUACUAACAGUAUCUCACUAAUAUCUAACAAUACUAAUGUGUGCUGCUAACAGUCAGUGAUUACUAACCUGGAAUCUGAAUGCUGAUGGCUGGCCUUGUUUUCUUUCUAACACACAGACUAACCCUCUGCUUUACGCCUGCAGUGCGACACACACUCCUCUCUCUUCAUCCUGCAAUCCUUCUUAGAAAUGACCAGCUUCGAUUGAUUUUUUUUUAAAGAAGACAAUCAAUAAGAAAAGUCCUAAAGUCAAGAAGGGUUUCAGGAAAUUGGGAAAAAUAUAAACCAAGAAAUGAAAAGAGGAGCAGAAACAGAUGCUGAUAUCAAACUGGGUUGACCACAUAUUUUAAACAAAUGAUUUUGAUCUUAUUCCAAAUGAAAUAAGUGCACUGUGUCACACUUUAAAUACUAAUUCACAUCUUUAACUACAUGUAUUUUUAAGUUUUUCUCUCUGUCUGUGCGCUGUGUGGUCAACCUUAACAGAUGAGCACCAGGCUUGUUGUAAACACGAGGAAAAAAAAGCACAAGCCAAGCAAAGCUAAACUCCUACUAACUUUAUUAUUCUGGUGUUUGAUACUAACAUCGGUGAAGCUGCAAAGCUCCACCUGUCACUCCUACUAACAUCGCUCUUCUUUUUUAUUCUUGAAAUCAAAUUCUCUUGUUUACAAAUUAGAGCAUGCCCUACUAAUUUUGUUUUUAACACCAUUGUAUGAAAGCUGAAAUCUGAAUAUAUAUUUUUUGUACCACGAGACUGCUUCUAAAGUCGGACAGCUCUACUCGUGUUAGUGAUAUGCUAAACAGAAGUCCUUACCAACAAAUGUGACUAUUUCGUUCUCUUAAUAACCUACUAACAUCAAUAAACCUGAGUCUAACCAAAGAGCUUAUAUAGGCUCCCUGCAAACUAACAAACUAACCCACUAAUAAACUAAUCAUCUAACAAACACUAACAAAAAAACACUAACUGUGUGCUGAGUGGCAGAAUUAGCGAAGCACCCUGAUUAUAAGGAGCUGCGUCACUCAUUGAAUGCACUAACAUGAUUAAGUUUGGAGUUUCUGAAGUGAUUGAAUGUGCCUGUGUGUGUGCACAUGUUUGUGUGUGUGCGAGAGAGAGAGAGAGAGAAGGCAGAAGAUGUAUGUUUGUUUCUGUGCUUACAAAUGAAAGUGGAGGAUGUAUGCGUGACCACUUUUACGUCUUAAACAAUAAUCAAGUCUAGAAAUGCAGAUGAAUAUAUCCAUUAGCAGUCUUUCAGCCUGUAUGAGCUGCUGCUUCUAUAAAGCUUCAACUUUGAAUCAUCAUGCAUGUCAAGAGUUCUGAAUUUAAUGUUCACAAAUAUUUUUCACUUCUUCCUUAUUCAUCUUGUCUUAGAAACAUAUUUUUGGAAUAAAUAGAUAACAAUGUAUUUCUCUCUGCUAUUAAUUAUUCACAUAAAAAAAUGCAAUCCACAGAUUUUUUAUAACAUAACAAUCAGUCCAGAGGAGCAUUCGAAAACACAGGGUACAGCAAAGUCCUUCCAAAGAACAUGUUUUUCUGCACACAGCCAAUAAAUAUAAAGGUAUUUUACCACUGUGGCGAUGUGGAGGGCCACCUUCAGGAGCGUCAUUACAAUAAAUAACAUCUCUGCUCUCGUGAUUGCUGUAAUCAUACAAUGUAGUGAUUACUGUCGCAGCAGGUGAAACACAUGCAGAGUCCAACAGAACCCAUUCUGUUUGAAGUCUCAGAUUCAGAAUAAAUACAAUACAAAUGGAAACAUGCAUACCUGUUCUGUUAAAGUUUUGAAUUUUAAAUGUAUGCUUGUAUGUAAGGCCUUUGAAUAUUUCUAAGACACCAUUAUAACUAUAUAACCGUGUGAAAACUCUGAAUUAUUAUGUAUAAAUCCCCUAAUUUAAUGCUGCCCAGCUAUGUUUUUCUGCUAAUUUACAUGUAUGAGGAUUUGAAGAUUUCAUGUUUGCAGUGUUACAGCAGGGGGCAGCAACUCAUCAGGUGAAAGGAUCUGUUGAUCAUUGGUGCAGUGAUUGUUUUUCCUCAUGUGUACUGCUUGUCCUGCUUAUAUUUGCGGUUGCUCGAUUAACGAAAGAAAUGACUUCAUAUGAAUAACUGUUAAAAAUUAUUAAACAGCAUAUUUACUGUGGUGCAGUUAAAUAACCACAUUUCUAUUGAUCCAUUACCACAUUAUACAGACUAUAUUCCAUUUAGGAGUUUCCCCUUUAUGAUUUCCUUAGAAUUAAUGAGUGUGGAAGUUUUUAAAUCUGAAUUACACAAUGUUAAUAUACUUUACUCAAUAUGUUUACCCAUAUAUAAAACAUGACCGAUAGUUUUGUUCAGCAUUAGUCAGCGUCAGCACAUUUUAUGUUUAAAACAUGCACAGAAAAUUCUUCAGGAGUAUAAUCUUUAAUGGAGCAAAUAGAAAAAAUGAAUCAUGUUUUCACUGAUAUGACCUUAAAAAAAGAAUCUGCGACAGUGAAGACAUGCUGGAUUAAAGGAAUAUCUUGUUUCUCAAUAAAACGUAUUUUUGACACCUUG